UUAAGUUCAGCGGGUAUCCCUACCUGAUCCGAGGUCAACCUGAAUGGAAGCGAUCCCUAACUGGUAGGGGUCGGAUUUCGAGGCCAGCGUUCACCGGGAGCGUGCGAGCAUCCAGAAUAAGUCUCCCAUAUGCUCGGUCACCCUUGAUUAAGCGACGCCGCCACUGCAAUUGGAGCAGGCCCCCCCCUUCCAAAGGGACG
rnacentral:misc_RNA from 1 species